rnacentral:rRNA from 1 species
UUCCUACGGGAGGCUGCAGUGGGGAAUAUUGGGCAAUGGGCGAAAGCCUGACCCAGCGACGCCGCGUGGGUGAUGAAGGCCUUCGGGUUGUAAAGCCCUUUCGUGCGGAAAGAACAGCCCUGUAGUGAAUAACUGCAGGGUUUGACGGUACCGCAGGAAGAAGCACCGGCUAACUCCGUGCCAGCAGCCGCGGUAAUACGGAGGGUGCAAGCGUUGUUCGGAAUUAUUGGGCGUAAAGGGCGCGUAGGUGGUUGUGAUAGUCAGAUGUGAAAUCCUUUGGCUUAACUGAAGAACUGCAUCUGAAACUUCAUAACUCGAGUACAGGAGAGGGAAACGGAAUUCCCGGUGUAGAGGUGAAAUUCGUAGAUAUCGGGAGGAACACCAGUGGCGAAGGCGGUUUCCUGGCCUGAUACUGACACUGAGGCGCGAAAGCGUGGGGAGCAAACAGGAUUAGAUACCCCAGUAGUCC